UACGUAGGGGCAAGCGUUGUCCGGAUUUAUUGGCGUAAAGAGCGUGUAGGCGGCCUGACAGGUCUGCUGUGAAAACUCGAGGCUCAACCUCGAGAUGUCGGCGGAAACCGUCUGGCUAGAGUCCGGAAGAGGAGAGUGGAAUUCCUGGUGUAGCGGUGAAAUGCGCAGAUAUCAGGAAGAACACCUAUGGCGAAGGCAGCUCUCUGGGACGGUACUGACGCUGAGACGCGAAAGCGUGGGGAGCGAACAGG
rnacentral:rRNA from 1 species